ACCGAACCCAACGGCCCUCUUUAGGGCCACAAAU
rnacentral:snRNA from 1 species